rnacentral:rRNA from 1 species
CCUGAACGCUGGCGGCGUGGCUAAGACAUGCAAGUCGAACGGUGUAGCAAUACACAGUGGCGAAAGGGUGAGUAAUGUAUCGCUAAUGUACCCCGGACUUUGGGAUAGCUGCCCGAAAGGGCAGGUAAUACCAGAUGAUAUAACUGAACCGCAUGGUUUGGUUCUCAAAGGUCUGCCGGUCUGGGAGCAGGCGAUAUCGUAUCAGCUAGUUGGUGAGGUAACGGCNCACCAAGGCGACGACGCGUAACCGGACUGAGAGGUCGGCCGGUCACAUCGGGACUGAGACACUGCCCGGACUCCUACGGGGGGCUGCAGUAACGAAUCUUCCGCAAUGGGCGCAAGCCUGACGGAGCGACGCCGCGUGCAGGACGAAGUCC